rnacentral:rRNA from 1 species
CCAGACUCCUACGGGAGGCAGCAGUGGGGAAUAUUGGGCAAUGGGCGCAAGCCUGACCCAGCAACGCCGCGUAAAGGAAGAAGGCUUUCGGGUUGUAAACUUCUUUUCUGGGGGACGAAGAAAGUGACGGUACCCCAGGAAUAAGCCACGGCUAACUACGUGCCAGCAGCCGCGGUAAUACGUAGGUGGCAAGCGUUAUCCGGAUUUAUUGGGUUUAAAGGGUGCGUAGGCGGAUUUUUAAGUCAGCGGUAAAAUGUCCGGGCUCAACCCGGGCCGGCCGUUGAAACUGGGGAUCUUGAGUGGGCGAGAAGUAUGCGGAAUGCGUGGUGUAGCGGUGAAAUGCAUAGAUAUCACGCAGAACUCCGAUUGCGAAGGCAGCAUACCGGCGCCCGACUGACGCUGAGGCACGAAAGCGUGGGUAUCGAACAGGAUUAGAUACCCUCGUA